CCUGGCGCAUACACAAUCACAUUUCACCCAGCCUCGAGCCACCACGUGAAUGGGUGACCAGGAAGCAAUCUUCCCUUCAGAGGAUUUCCUCCAAUAUCUACGCUGCAUGCCAAGGAUCCGUAAUAACUUUUAACCUGGUGAACCAGAGAGGCUGCGUGUGGUUUAUGUAUCAUGUACUGGAACCUGGACAAUGGUAGCUAUUACCUUACUUCCUAUAUCCGUCAAGGACCAAUCCUGGAAAAUUUCCUAAAUGUUCCAAGCAAGUCCAAGAAGGACUACCCCAGUUUCCUGUAUCUUGAUCCAGGAGAUAAGCCAAUGAGUAUCAGACAAGUGUUGAAAACAGGAGAAAGUACCAAAAAUUUAAAGACAACAGUGACUAAGACUAACCUCUGAGAUAAUCCAGAUCACUUGGACUUGAAGUCUAAGAAAAGCUAUUGAUUUUUUCCGUGUGCCUGAGAGAUUUGUCAACUAAUCCUGAAUCUCUUACACCAUUGGAAUCAGAGCAUUAAGCAAUUCACUGGCAGCGUACCUAUCACGUGCUGGGGAAUCCGUCACCUGUGACUCGGCCCUCAGCACAGACGCAGGAGAGCGAGCCCAGGACUAUGAGAUGGAAGACAUACUUCAGAGUCCUGGCCCUGCCGCUCACCUGCCCUGGGGCUUUGGACAAGUCACUUUCCCAGGAGGGGCCUUUUUCCACCACAGGAAAUCACCCCAGUGAUCACAAAUGUCCUUACCAUUCCUACAACAUUUCUGCGCCUGCCUUCUAGGAUUCAUGUGAAGGAAAAAAUAAAAGUGCAGUUAAUAUUCAACAUAAAAGUCUGGUAAUAAAACACAUUCGAUUGCCACGACUGGUUUAGCAAUCGCUUGGCCUCUGAAACAACCUCCUAAAUAUGCGGGGAGAGUGUUUAUCAUUUCUGCUCCUGCAGGGCCUGACACUUCACUAAGGGAAUAGGCUGCACAAUUUCUUACUCUUUCAAAAACUGUUGCAUUUGAAUUCUUGCAAAAUAUUUAAAAUUUGUUUUAGAGGACCAGAGGUACUUCUAAGCUGAGUUACUGCUGUAUCCCUCCUUUCUUU